GCUCCCUUUUUUUCUAUAAACUUUACUUAUAGUGUUGAGACCAGCAUUAGUAGUAUAGGUCGUGUAUACAUGUACAUAAUUCCUUGAGAGGACCUAUGGAGAACCUGUGUAUAUAGUGUAUAUAUAUUUAAAGUGCUACAAGAUAUUCUUGGUGUUCCUUAAUGGAAGCAUAAUACAUACAGAAGAAGAAGAAGUAUUUGAUUUUAAUGUUGGACUCUGUCUUACUAUUGUAUUUUAUGUUUUCUUAUAUAUGUAUUUAUUGUAACUUACAAAUAUGUCUUAAGGUUUCACAGAUCUGGAAAAACUAUACAGUUUUAAAGGAAAAGAAUUCUAAAAGUCCCUUGAUUUCACAAAUUUCAUGGUAUAUUCAUGUUUAUUCACUCAUCAUAGAUAUUGAUAAAGCUAAACGCAUGCAUGAAGGGUGAUAUUUUUAAAAUAAUUUCUUAUAAUUGUCAAGGUCUGUAUACAAAGGAGAAACGGAGAAUUGAUUUGAACUAUUUAAAGUCAAAGAAUUUUAAUAUAUACUGUCUUCAGGACACACAUUUUACAGAACAAGAUGAAUUAAACAUUAAAAAUAAGUGGAAGGGAGAAUGCCUUUUCAAUUCAUUUACAUCCAAUCAGAGAGGUGUAGCCAUCUUUUUUAAUGAAAACUUUGAUCUUCAAAUUCACAAAGUUAAAAAAGAUGAGGGUGGAAAUCUUCUUGGAUUGGACAUUACAAUUGAAGAACAAAGAAUUACAUUAGUAAAUAUGUAUUGGCCAAAUGUAG
rnacentral:lncRNA from 1 species